rnacentral:rRNA from 1 species
UACGAAGGGGGCUAGCGUUGCUCGGAAUCACUGGGCGUAAAGCGCACGUAGGCGGAUUGUUAAGUCAGGGGUGAAAUCCUGGAGCUCAACUCCAGAACUGCCUUUGGUACUGGCGAUCUUGAGUCCGGGAGAGGUGAGUGGAACUGCGAGUGUAGAGGUGAAAUUCGUAGAUAUUCGCAAGAACACCAGUGGCGAGGGCGGCUCACUGGCCCGGUACUGACGCUGAGGUGCGAAAGCGUGGGGAGCAAACAGG